rnacentral:rRNA from 1 species
AACGAACGCUGGCGGCAGGCCUAACACAUGCAAGUCGAACGGGACCUUCGGGUCUAGUGGCGGACGGGUGAGUAACGCGUGGGAACGUGCCCUUUGGUUCGGAAUAGCCCCGGGAAACUGGGAGUAAUACCGGAUAAGCCCUACGGGGGAAAGAUUUAUCGCCAAAGGAUCGGCCCGCGUUGGAUUAGGUAGUUGGUGGGGUAAUGGCCUACCAAGCCGACGAUCCAUAGCUGGUUUGAGAGGAUGAUCAGCCACACUGGGACUGAGACACGGCCCAGACUCCUACGGGAGGCAGCAGUGGGGAAUCUUAGACAAUGGGGGAAACCCUGAUCUAGCCAGCCGCGUGAUCGAUGAAGGCCUUAGGGUUGUAAAGAUCUUUCAGUGGGGAAGAUAAUGACUGUACCCACAGAAGAAGCCCCGGCUAACUCCGUGCCAGCAGCCGCAGUAACAC